AGAGGUGGAUAGAGAGAGAAGAUGAGAGGUGGAUGGAGAGAGAAGAGGAGAGGUGGAGUGAGAGAGAAGAGGAGAGGUGGAUGGAGAGAGAAGAGGAGAGGAGAGGGAUGGAGAGAGAAGAGGAGAGGGAUGGAGAGAGAAGAGGAGAGGGGGAGUGAGAGAGAAGAGGAGAGGUGGAGUGAGAGAGAAGAGGAGAGGUGGAGGGAGAGAGAAGAGGAGAGGUGGAUGGAGAGAGAAGAGGAGAGGUGGAUGGAGAGAGAAGAGGAGAGGUGGUUGAGAGAGAAGAGGAGGAUGGAGAGACAAGAGGAGAGGGGGAGAGAGAAGAGGAGGAUGGAGGUGGAUGGAGAGAGAAGAGGAGAGGGGGAGUGAGAGAGAAGAGGAGAGGGAUGGAGGUGGGUGGAGAGAGAAGAGGAGAGGGGGAUGAGAGAGAAGAGGAGGAUGGAGGUGGAUGGAGAGAGAAGAGGAGGAUGGAGGUGGAUGGAGAGAGAAAAGAGGAGGAUGGAGGUGGAUGGAGAGAGAAGAGGAGGAUGGAGGUGGAUGGAGAGAGAAGAGGAGGAUGGAGGUGGAUGGAGAGAGAAGAGGAGGAUGGCGGUGGAUGGAGAGAAGAGGAGAGGGAUGGAGAGAGAAGAGGAGAGGGGGAGAGAGAAGAGGAGAGAUGGAUGGAGGUGGAUGGAGAGAGAGGGAGAGACAGCAGUCAUUAAUGAAGUCAAUAUUCCUAUCUGUGAACUUCUCCUAACUAGAAAGACUCAUAUAUCAAAUACCUAUUAACAAUACAAACCUGCUUGGAAACAUUUGGUCACUCAUUUGAAUAUGCCUAUAUAAUCCUUCCUGUUUCAUUACAUGGGGCCUUUAUUAAGGCAUCAGUGCUCCCUCUUGACGAC
ensembl:lncRNA